CCUUGUACACACCGCCCGUCACACCAUGGGGAGCGGGGUUUCUGCCAGAAGUAGUUAGCCUAACCGCAAGGAGGGCGAUUACCACGGCAGGGUUCGUGACUGGGGGUG
rnacentral:rRNA from 1 species